rnacentral:rRNA from 1 species
GAUCCUGGCUCAGAUUGAACGCUGGCGGCAGGCUUAACACAUGCAAGUCGAACGGUAACAGGAAGAAAGCUUGCUUUCUUUGCUGACGAGUGGCGGACGGGUGAGUAAUGCUUGGGUAUCUGGCUUAUGGAGGGGGAUAACUACGGGAAACUGUAGCUAAUACCGCGUAGUAUCGGAAGAUGAAAGUGUGGGACCGUAAGGCCACAUGCCAUAGGAUGAGCCCAAGUGGGAUUAGGUAGUUGGUG